GUUCCCAUUGGGGGGGUCCUAUGGGGUUCCUAUAGGGGUCCUAUGGGGGUCCUAUAGGGGGUUCCUAUGGGGGUCUCAAUGGGGUCCUAUAGGGGGUUCCAAUGGGGGUCCCAUGGGGGGGUCCUAUAUGUGUCCCUAUGUGUGUCCCCUCACGGCAGUGCCGUUGCCGGGGGUCUGUGCAGCGCCGCGUCCAGGGCGGUUCCGAUGGCGGUUCCACCCGUCAGAGCCGCGAACACCCACAGGAAAACACGGUCCACCAACAUGGCGGCGAAACGCCACUGCUCACGGAGCUGCAACGGGAACGAGCCUUGCACCACGGCUUGCACGGCUGCUUUGCACCACGGCUUUGCACGGCUGCUUUGCACGAGUGCUUUGCACCACGGCUUGCACGGCUGCUUUGCACNUUGCACCACGGCUUGCACGGCUGCUUUGCACCACGGCUUUGCACGGCUGCUUUGCACGAGUGCUUUGCACCACGGCUUGCACGGCUGCUUUGCACGGCUGCUUUGCAUGGCUGCUUUGCACCACGGCUUUGCAUGACUUUGCAUGGCUGAGUGCACAGCAGCAAUGCAAUGCAUGGUUCUGCUGCAAGGCUUUGCAAUGCACGGCUGUGCUGCAAGGCUGUGCAAUGCAGCAGCCUUGCACCACGGCUUUGCACAACUGCUUUGCACGGCUGCUUUGCACAACGGCUUUGCACCACAGCUUUGCACGGCUGCUUUGCACAGCUGCUUUGCACCACGGCUUUGCACGGCUGCUUUGCACAGCUGCUUUGCACGGCUGAUUGCACAGCGACUUUGCAUGGCUGAUUGCACGGCUGCUUUGCACGGCAGCUUUGCAUGGCUGAUGGCACGGCAGCAAUGCAAUGCAUGGCUGUGCUGCAAGGCUUUGCAAUGCAUGGCUUUGCACUGCAGGAGGGGGAGUUAACACGCCUUGCACGACAGCUUUGCACCACGGCUUUGCACGGCUGAUUGCACGGCUGAUUGCACGGCAGCAAUGCAAUGCACGGCUCUGCUGCCAGGCUUUGCAAUGCAUGGCCUUGCACUGCAGGAGGGGGAGUUAACACGCCUUGCACUACAGCUUUGCACGGCUGCUUUGCACGGCUGAUUGCACAGCAGCAAUGCAAUGCACGGCUGUGCUGCAAGGCUGUGCAAUGCAUAGCUUUGCAUUGCAGGAGGGGGAGUUAACAUGUCUUGCACCACGGCUUUGCACGGCUGCUUUGCACCACGGCUUUGCAUGACUUUGCAUGGCUGAGUGCACAGCAGCAAUGCAAUGCAUGGUCCUGCUGCAAGGCUUUGCAAUGCAUGGCUGUGCUGCAAGGCUUUGCAACGCACGGCUUUGCACUGCAGCGGGGGGUGCUUAACACGCCUUGCACCACGGCUUUGCAUGACUGAUUGAUUGCAUGGCUGCUUUGCACUGCAGCUUGCAUGACAGCAAUGCAAUGCAUGGUUCUGCUGCAAGGCUUUGCAAUGCACGGCUUUGCACUGCAGCUGGGGGUGCUUAACACGCCUUGCACCACGGCUUUGCACGACUGCUUUGCACGGCUGUUUGCACCAUGACUUUGCACCAUGGCUUGCAGCAUGGCUUUGCACUGUGGUUGCUUUGCACUACGGUUUGGACCUUGCACGGGGAGGGGGGGUGACACAUGAGGAGGUCACGUGGGGGGGGGUCACACGGGGCCUUGCACAAGUGCUGGGUCACAAGGGGGGGGUCACACUGGGGCGUCACACAUCCUUGCACGGGGGGGGGAUCCCAUAGGAUACAUAGGGGUUCCAUAGGGGGGU
ensembl:lncRNA